CUGCAUUAUUCUCCCUUGGUUGGAGAAAACUCGACCUCGAGUCUUUUAGUGAGAAAGAAUCAAGAACUGCAUUCAGAAAACAAGCAACUUUAUUUUCUUGAUUGUAGCAAUGAGCGUGAAAAGAAGAAAUUCAUGCUUUGCUUUGCAUCCCUUGAAAUAUUUGAACAUGGAAAAUCAAUCACAACUAUAAUUGAAGGACUUUUCAAUUUAGUAGGAACAAGGGAAUUUGAAAAAUUUUCAAUUUCCUUUGUUAUUUCCUUGGCUUGAUUUUCUUCAAUUUUUAGGCUAAUUUCCUCAAGCUUUUCUUGUUAAGCUUCAUUAGCUUCUUUUUCUAGAACA
rnacentral:misc_RNA from 1 species